GAAAUCUAGGAUUUUCCUUCAAAUUUAGCAAUUCAAAAGAUGAUUGUCUCAAAUCAAGUUAAAUGAUAAGCAGUUAAUACAAAAUAUUUUAAAACCAUCUCAGAACCCGGUAUCACAAGUGCAUGAGCAUCGACUGAUAGGAAAAUAAAAUACAACACCCAUCCGGAAUACAGUGGACGGGAAAUAAAUACAAUACAGUGGAAGGGACUAUACUAGCUGCUGGCAGCCUCGAAUAAUAUAACUCACCUAGUCCAAGAAUCAUCCGUGCUGCUACCCCCAAUAGGCUGCUAGAGUUACAUAUACAUGUGCAACAAAAAUACACAUAAGUGUAGUAUAAGUACGUAAACCAGGUGUACUCAAUAAGUAUCUCGUCUAAUCUCGAAGAAGUAGAGACGAGACGGUCAACUUCGACACUUACUAGCGAUCCAAUAAUGAUGUUAAUAAUACAUUAAAUCGUGAAUUUCAACAAACAUGAUUUUUUUUACCAAAUAGCAGGAAACAGUAGACAAUUAUUCCUUUUAUAGGAAAUUUUCAAAAUUCCUUUUUUAUUAUUUUCCAAAUAUUCUCAAGCCAUGAAGAGGUAAUAACAACUUUAAUAUGUUCAAGUAAAUUAUACUAGCAUGUGCAAAUAACCACCGUGGGACGUACGGCCUGAUCCAACAUAAAAGUAAAUCCUGCACUGCCGAGGGUUGAACGGCUCGAAACAUGUAAAUAAAUAUAAAUAAACAACACCCCGAUCGCGAAUUCAUCUAUGUGACGCAAGUACACAUAGAAAUAUGCAUUCAAACAGUCAAUCAAGACUUCAUCAGGGAAAAAUAAUUACCCAAAGAGAUAGCAAUUCUCAUUAACGGUCAAGAAAAUUGUGUUUAAUCCUUUUGAAAUUCAUUUACUAUUUUGAUGUGAUUUAAGCAAUUCAAGCGGUCAAUAAUUUUACAAAUAUUCCGAGUAUAACAUGUUUUUCUUGGGUCCUAGACUACCCGGACUUAAACAUACGCACAUACUCUACUCACCUCGUACGAACGUGGCCCCCACAAAUAGGAGAACAUAUCAAUUAAUUCACCUAUGGGGACAUUUCUCUCUUACAGGGUUAGAAAGGAGACUCACCUCGCUUCGAACAUUCAUAACCGGCAUUCUGCGCCUUUCCGAAGAUUCGAAUCGAUGCAAAAAAUGCUCCAAAACUAGCCAAUAAUCAUAUAAACCCAUUAAAUAUGCUCAACUAUUCAUUACAACCCUAUUCACCACAAUUCCUAACCCCGGUCGAAAAGUUGACAUAAACGUCAUCGGGCCCACGUGCCCGAAAUCCAAAAUUUCUAGAAGAUAAAGUUUACCCAUGAACUCCCGAACCCAAGUAUAUGAUUUUCUCUUAAUUCCAUACCCAAAUUUGUAAUUAAAUUCCAAGAAUAAUAAUUUUCUAGGUCUUCCCUCAAACACCAAGUUUUCUACAAAUUCCUUGUCUAAAUCUAUAUAUAAACCUUGUAUUUAACUCAAAGCUAGCCUAAAUUACUUAUCUCAUGAUGAGUGAUGAAACUAGUACCUCAAAGUUGCUCCCCAUCAGCUCCAACGGAAGAAACAUGGGGUUGAAAUGAACCCAGCCCUGGAUCGUAAAUGACCUCACAACCUCAGCUAUUUCCGCACCUGCGAGCCCUCGAUCGCUUCUGCGGUUCUGCGGGUGCGGCUAAAAUGCCGCUUCUGCGGUCCUCCCUAAGCCACUCUUUUUCGCUUCUGCGACCAGCCUUCCGCAGAUGCGGUCCUGCUUCUGCGGAACCUUAACCGCAUAUGUGGUCCUCGAGCCCCUGACCAAAUCCCGCUUCUGCAACUCCCUUUCUCGCUUCUGCGGUGUACCUUAACCGCAUAUGUGGUCCUCGAGCCCCUGACCAAAUCCCGCUUCUGCAACUCCUUUUCUCGCUUCUGCGGUGUACCAGCAAUCAGACCCUUCAGCUAUACAAAAAUUCCAAAUUUUGAUCAGUUAAUCACCCGGAAUCCACCCGAGGCUCCCGGGACCCUAACCAAUCAUACCAACCAGUCCCAAAGCACAUUUCGGACUUGCUUGAGGCCUCAAAUCACAUCAAACAAUGCAAAAAUCAUGAAUCAACCUCCAAUCCAAGCUUUAUGAACUUUAGAACUUCUAACUUCUAUUUCUGAUGCCGAAACCUAUCAAAUUACGUCCGAUUGACAUCAAAUUUUGCACACAAGUCCAAAAUGUCAUAGCGAAGCUACAACAACUCUCGGAAUUCCAUUCCGACUCUCGGAUCAAAAUUUCACCUAUAGAACUUCCAACUUCUACUUUCGAUGCUUAAACCUAUCAAAUCAACUCCGAUUAACCUCAAAUUUUGCACACAAGUCAUAUUCGACAUUACGAACCUACUUCAACUUUCCGAAUCGGAUUCCGACCCCGAUAUCAAAAAGUCCACUUCCGAUCAAACUUCUCCAAAAACCUUCGAAUUUCUACCUUUAGCCAAAUGGCUCCAAAAUGACCUACGGACCUCCGAAUUCACUUCCGAUCGCGCCCCCAACUCCAGAAUCACAAUACGGAGAUGCUCCUAGACUCGGAAUCCCAAACGGACAUCGAUUUCACUGAAAUGCACUUCAACCCAAACUUAUGAAAUUUCUGUCAAAAUGCUAUUUUCCACAAUAUGCACCAAAACGCUCUCAGGUCAUCCCAAACCCGAUCCGGGCUUACGCCCAAGUCCGAAAUUAUCAUACGAACAUGGUGGAACCUUCAGAUCCUGAUUCUGAGGUCGUUUACUAAAAAUUUCAAUCCUAGUUAAUUUUUUUAGCUUUAAGCUUCCGAAAUGAGAAUUCUCUUUCCAAAUCAACUCUGAACUUCCCGAAACUUAAUUCCGACCAUGCGUACAAGUCAUAAUACCUGAAAUGAAGUUGUUCAUGACCUUAAACUGCUGAACAAUGUGCUAUAGCUCAAAACGGACGGUCUGGUCGUUAUAGAUAGAGGGAGAUGUCAGGGCCUGCGGACGCCUGCAGGUCUACCUGUCAUACUCACUUUUUUUACAAACCUCACUUAACCCUCUUAAAUUAAUAAAAGAUUUUAGUAAAGUUUGAAAAGGGUUUUCCAAAUAGAACGUGAAAAAACUAUUGUGUUCAAAAGGAAAUAACUCAGAGUCGUCACCUGACUUUGAUUUCGGUGUGCCAGGUCACUGUUUUAUAAGAAAAUAAUUUUUCCUUUUACUACAAAACUAAGUCUACACUAGAGAUUCGGGUAAGGGAGUUCAUUUGACUCGGGGAGAAGGUGUUAGGCACUCCCCAAGAUCCGUAACUAGUACGGUUGCGUACUCGAGCAAGUUGGUUCUUAACAUAUUCAAUUGAGGUAAAACAAACACACAGAAAAAUAAACACAUAAAAGGGCUAAAGGUCGUCCCCACCUAAUAAAAAAUAAAGAUAAAAUAAGAAUAAAAUACUACACCGUGCUUCCUUCAGCGUCACGGCCUCCAAAAUAUUACAAAGUACUUCAGGGCAUACUCCGGAUAAUAGUAUUUACAAACUUUACGGGGCAUACCCUGGAUAAAAUUUAACUAACGGACAACCUCUCACCUUACAAUUAAAUAAAAUAAAAUCCUAAAGUUUCGUACCCAAAUAUGGUUUGUGGUCGGUCUAAGCUUGGUCCUAUCGAUCCAAUUAACUAAAAGAGAAAUAAAAUGGGAAUAAUAAACUCUUUGUGAAGUUCAAAUUCAUCCUCAAUACUAAACAAAUCCUAGAUCUAGUUUUCAAAAAAUACACCCAUCACCUUAAGUUUUAUUCUUGCACUGACGUUACCUUGGACAUUUAGAGUGAAACAAAGACAUUGCAGAAUCAUGAACACAAAGCAAUGCAAACCAGUUCACAUAACCUUUAACACCCUCCAUCCUAAUAAUCCAAGCUUUAUUUCCAUUUAUAAUACCUUCAUGGCUAAAGUUUAGUAUGAGAAUAUGAUUUGCAUAAGCAUAUAUGUACGCUAAUUUUUUGUUAAACAAACAUUACUAGUAUGCAACACAUCAAAUAAUGUAAUUUCAGUUAAAAGCAAAAGUUCGUCCUCAAGGUAUCAUAAGCAAGCAAAAAUCCCCACAAAUAUUUUCAUUGAAUCACCGUAUAAGAAUAGCAUGAAGUAAACAGAUGGGGAAGAAGAAGUAAACCUCUGUUAUCUCAAAAGAUUUGAUUGGAAAACAAGAUCUGCACCUGAACCUCGAACAACAACCUCGAACAAUCACCUCCGAACCCCGAAGCAAAAACCAAACUCAAAAUAAACUCUAUGAUCGGAAUUGAAUCAAUUUCCAUUGAAAUAGUAAGAAGCAAAACAUUGGCAUUUAAACAAACUGCGUCAGAUUCUAUGGCUUUUAAAAUUGAAAACAGACGAACAAGAAGAAUUAGCGGAUAAAAAUGGCUACUGCUGCAGCUUCAAAGGUGUUGGUUGUCUGGUUUCAUAAGAAAGUUGAACGAUGAAGAGAAGCUAGGCCAUAGCUGCCGAUUUUGGAUGAGGUCGUCGAUGAUGGAGGUGCGACAGAGCAAUGAGGGGGAGAAGACUACGUUCUGGUUGGCGUUGGGCAGCAGUUUUCGAAGUUCAGGGGUAGUGGGGUUCUCUCAUGGCUACUGACUAUGGAGGAAACGACUGGUGGUGGCUGGUUUGUGUCCUGGCAGAGAUGGUCGCUGGUGCCGGAGAAGGUAACGGCUGGGCGUGGAGGAGAUUGAGGUAGGAUCUGGAGUUAUGGCCAUGGGGUGGAGGACGAGGGAGGGAGGAGAUGUUGGUGGUGUUAGAGAGGUCAGAGGUCGUUUGGUGUAUGAGGGCUGGCCGGCCGCGAAAAUAGGGUGUGUGCGUGGAGAAGAUCAAGGAUCCCUGCCU
rnacentral:lncRNA from 1 species